rnacentral:rRNA from 1 species
AUGAACGCUGGCGGCGUGCUUAACACAUGCAAGUCGAACGGUGAAGCCAAGCUUGCUUGGUGGAUCAGUGGCGAACGGGUGAGUAACACGUGAGCAACCUGCCCUGGACUCUGGGAUAAGCGCUGGAAACGGUGUCUAAUACUGGAUAUGAGCUCUCAUCGCAUGGUGGGGGUUGGAAAGAUUUUUCGGUCUGGGAUGGGCUCGCGGCCUAUCAGCUUGUUGGUGAGGUAAUGGCUCACCAAGGCGUCGACGGGUAGCCGGCCUGAGAGGGUGACCGGCCACACUGGGACUGAGACACGGCCCAGACUCCUACGGGAGGCAGCAGUGGGGAAUAUUGCACAAUGGGCGGAAGCCUGAUGCAGCAACGCCGCGUGAGGGAUGACGGCCUUCGGGUUGUAAACCUCUUUUAGCAGGGAAGAAGCGAGAGUGACGGUACCUGCAGAAAAAGCGCCGGCUAACUACGUGCCAGCAGCCGCGGUAAUACGUAGGGCGCAAGCGUUAUCCGGAAUUAUUGGGCGUAAAGAGCUCGUAGGCGGUUUGUCGCGUCUGCUGUGAAAUCCCGAGGCUCAACCUCGGGCCUGCAGUGGGUACGGGCAGACUAGAGUGCGGUAGGGGAGAUUGGAAUUCCUGGUGUAGCGGUGGAAUGCGCAGAUAUCAGGAGGAACACCGAUGGCGAAGGCAGAUCUCUGGGCCGUAACUGACGCUGAGGAGCGAAAGGGUGGGGAGCAAACAGGCUUAGAUACCCUGGUAGUCCACCCCGUAAACGUUGGGAACUAGUUG